UGGUCUCGAACUCCUGACCUCAAGCGAUCCUCCCACCUCAGCCUUCCAGAGUGCUAGCAUUACAGGCGUGAUCCUGGCUCAGCUCGAUUUUAAUCUGGGUGCCCAACAUUGCUGGGCACAAGGCCUGGUAUAGAGCAGGCAAGGUGUCCAAGGCCCUUCUUGAACUGCUCCUGGUUUUUUUUUUUUUUUUCCUUGUUUCCUGUUAUCUGCACCCCCAGUGAACAGAAAAGCUCAGGAACAGGAAACUGUUGCCAUGGAAUGUAGUGGUUAAGGACAGAGGCUCUUGGGCCACAGUGCCUGGUCCAGAUUCUGGGAGUACCGUCUCCUAGUUGUGUAACCAUGGACAAGUUAUAUAACCUUUCUAGGCUUAAUUUCCUCACCUGUAAGACAUGAUAAUAUAGCUCUCAUAGGGUUAGAACAGUGGUUCUCAAACUGGGGUGAUUUUGCCCCCCAUGGACAUUUGGCAGAAACAUUGGGUUAUCACAACUAGGAUACUGGCAUCUGCUAGGUAGAGGCCAGGAAUGUUGGCAAUCUCUAACACAGGACAGCCCCCGCAACAAAGAAUUAACUUGCCCAAAGUGUCAGCAGUGCUGAGGCUGAGAAAGGCUGGGUUAGCAGAUGAGAAGAGAGAAUAUCCGCUGAGUGUUUAGAACAGCUUUGCGGCCAUAGGAAGCACUCCGUAAGUACAAGCUGCCAUUACCACCUCCAUCUAAGCGCACCAGGGUCUCUAGUGCCUCGGUAUCUGCCCAGAUUGCCUUUUACAUGGAGGUUGAAUGUCUAUUUAUCCUUCAGGGCCCACCAGAAAGCCAGCUCUUCGGGGAAGCCUUCCCUGGCCACUACUACCCUCAUCCCCCAACAUGCUCAGCCAAGCAGUGGAAAGAAUUUUGAAGUCACACACACAGGCCCAGACUCAAAUUCAGGCUCUUUUCUUACACCUGUGCCUCCAGAAUAAGUGGGACCAACAUGGAACAGCACAAAUGCUACAAAUCUGUUCAUAGGAUCCAUUUGCUUCCAGCUCAACGACAUCCCCUGGGAUGAACCUGGAGAACAGAGACUCCAUCCCAUUCUGCCGUCAUUCCCCAGGAUGCCAGUUUCCAUGAUGCCAGCAGCAAUCCCUGCUAAGUCACAGCAAUCAAAAACAUCUCUACACAUUGCCAGAUGCCCCCUGGGGGCUGAGUUUCUGAGUCAAGAAGAAUUUGAGUCAAAGGACUUUGGAGCCAAGGGCUAUAGUUCUGAUCUAGACUUGUCAAUUCUGGGAUCAGUUUGAAUGGCUGUCUGAGGAAAAGGCUUAAUCCUGCUGAGCACGGGGCUCUUUGAGGCCAGGGCUGCCACCAGGUUGGGCAAUAAAUGUAAGAGGUAAGUUAAAGCACUGAGUUUGGGGUGAGUUAGAUGGUUGUUUGAAUCUCAACCUUGUCUGUUACUAGCUGUGUGGUACAAAUGUGGAAUCAUUCAUGAUAGGGAUGAUAACAGCACCUCCAUAGUUGGGUUGUUGGAAGGAUUCAUUGAGUCAAUCAAUGUGAACUAGUUAGGCCAAUGCCUAGCACACAGUAGGUGCUCAAUAAGUGAUAGAAAUGAUGGUGAUUCUGAUGAGGGUGAUGAUUCUCAUGAUGGUAAUGCUGAUAGAAGUGAUGCUGGUGGUGAUGCUGAUGAGACUGAAGAUGGUGGUGAUGAUGAUGAUGGUACUAAUGGUA